AAAUUGAAGAGUUUGAUCAUGGCUCAGAUUGAACGCUGGCGGCAGGCCUAACACAUGCAAGUCGAACGGUAACAGGAAACAGCUUGCUGUUUCGCUGACGAGUGGCGGACGGGUGAGUAAUGUCUGGGAAACUGCCUGAUGGAGGGGGAUAACUACUGGAAACGGUAGCUAAUACCGCAUAACGUCGCAAGACCAAAGAGGGGGACCUUCGGGCCUCUUGCCAUCGGAUGUGCCCAGAUGGGAUU
rnacentral:rRNA from 1 species